AUUAAUAAAACAGCAAAACAAUGUAAAAGUCGUUGGUUUUUCUGGCUUAAUCCUAAAA
rnacentral:tRNA from 1 species